rnacentral:lncRNA from 1 species
CUGCCUCUUUUACUUAUGUGUUGAAUUGUCGCUUGCCGAGCUUCUUUUCGGCCUUUGCGUCGUUCGGAGGUACCCGAUUGCCAUCGUAUCGAUCCAUCUUUUUCGUCCGUGGCCGCAGAUUUGUCUGGGACCACUCGGGUUUGGUGCCCCCCAUCAGGGCUCGAGCUCGAAGGUCUGAGCCUCCGUCACCCUGAAGAAGUCAUCUCAUCUCGGGCUUGCAUCGAAAGCUUCC